rnacentral:rRNA from 1 species
CUUGGUCAUUUAGAGGAAGUAAAAGUCGUAGCAAGGUUUCCGUAGGUGAACCUGCGGAAGGAUCAUUAAAAAAGAGAAACGUCCCGUUUUUUUUCAUAAGAAUGGGUUCUAUUCCCUUAAACCGUGUCUACAUACCUUUGUUGCUUUGGCAGGCCGCCUUCGGGCGUCGGCUCCGGCUGAUAGUGCCUGCCAGAGGACCCAAACUCUAUGUUUAGUGAUGUCUGAGUACUAUAUAAUAUUUAAAACUUUCAACAACGGAUCUCUUGGUUCUGGCAUCGAUGAAGAACGCAGCGAAAUGCGAUAAGUAAUGUGAAUUGCAGAAUUCAGUGAAUCAUCGAAUCUUUGAACGCACAUUGCGCCCCUUGGUAUUCCGAGGGGCAUGCCUGUUCGAGCGUCAUUAUAACCACUCAAGCCUGGCUUGGUAUUGGGGUUUUCGCGUGUUCGCGGCCCUUAAAAUCAGUGGCGGUGCCGUCUGGCUCUAAGCGUAGUAAUUUCUCUCGCUAUAGGGUUCCGGUGGUUACUUGCCAAAACCCCCCAUUUUUUCUAGGUUGACCUCGGAUCAGGUAGGGAUACCCGCUGAACUUAAGCAUAUCAAUAAGCGGAGGA